UAAACAUAUAACCCUCGAGUCGACUUUCAGCCCCGAGUAAGUUGCUCGCCGAACGGUUUUAAAGGUUGACGACCGAUGAUGCUAAACGGAUUUUACCCUUGCUAGAGCCUUCAAACAAGUUCUGGAGACAUUUACAGUGGCCUAUCCAGAACUUUCCUUACAAGGGAAGGGAAGAAGGCCAAGACCCCACUCCCCCCUACAAUUCCCAAAACAUAUUACUUACUCUUGAUGCUCCACAAGAUCAAGGUUGAGGGAAACAAGACGUACAAAGAUGUGGAGUUGUAGUUUUAAAAACUGUUCCCCCAAAGCAGUUAUCAACCGUAUAGGUUUGAAAAGAAACCAAAGCAUGUGGCAUCAACUGCUGCAUCACUUGUAGG